GACGAACGCUGGCGGCGUGCUUAACACAUGCAAGUCGAGCGGUAAGGCCCGUUUCGGGGGUACACGAGCGGCGAACGGGUGAGUAACACGUGGGUGACCUGCCCUCAGCUCUGGGAUAAGCCUGGGAAACCGGGUCUAAUACUGGAUAUGACUCCAUGACGCAUGUUGUGGGGUGGAAAGCCUUGUGCGGCUGAGGAUGGGCCCGCGGCCUAUCAGCUUGUUGGUGGGGUGANGGCCUACCAAGGCGACGACGGGUAGCCGGCCUGAGAGGGCGACCGGCCACACUGGGACUGAGACACGGCCCAGACUCCUACGGGAGGCAGCAGUGGGGAAUCUUGCGCAAUGGGCGAAAGCCUGACGCAGCGACGCCGCGUGAGGGAUGACGGCCU
rnacentral:rRNA from 1 species